rnacentral:lncRNA from 1 species
GGUUGCUGGUAUUUGAACUCCGGACCUUUGGAAGAGCAGUCGGGUACUCUUACCCACUGAGCCAUCUCACCAGCCCGGUUUAUUUGUUUUUGUUUUUGUUUUUGUUUUUGUUUUUGUUUUCUGCAGACCAAGUUGACUUCAAACUCUUAGAGAUCCGCCUGCCUCUGCCUCCCAAGUGCUGGAACUAAAGACCUGUGCCACCAAGCAUGCUUAGAAACAUACUUUCACCACGAAAUCGACAAAGAUCUAAAAGUUUGAGAAAGGACUGAAUGGACAAGAGAAAGUCCCUUUUUACCUGCGGAUGAUUUAUUUUCAUUAUUUUGGGAGCUGAAGAGAUGGCUCAGCAGUGAACACUGGCUGCCCAUGCAGAGGACCCAAGUUCAAUUCCCAGCGCAUAGUGGCUCACAACUGGCUGUAACUCCAGCGUAUCUGACGCCCUCUUCUGACCGGUUUAUUCUGUGAAGAGUGAAAGGUUAGGAGGUGGUACCAGGACGUCAAGACCAACUUGAAGAGUCUUUUGGGCAAGACACCCAGAGCCAACACAUCCAAGUCCUGCAUCGAUGUCGCUUCCUGUACGCCCCCCCCGCCCCAGCUGUGGUGCACAGUGUGGUGCAUCCGUGGCUCUUCCUGCCCAUUAGGAAGAGGACCUCUUCCAAGAGCAACUCCUUUAACCUAUCUGGAAAAGUUGAAGGCACCAUUUAAUUAGCACCUGCUGUAUACCGUAACAGCACCUACAGGUGUUCUGGGCUCUCAGUAGCAGUACAGAGGUGGGGUUUUACGUUCCUAGGGAGUCACUUUGUGCCCUGAAAUGACUCAAGCCUUUCUUUGAAAGGGUGUGGAAGCUGUCUUUGCAGAGCAGGUAAGGACAGGCCCACAGUUGGCUCCUGGCUUCCCUCUCUCAGGCUCUGAGGACAAGGGAUAAGAACGAGAAAGACCAAAGGUAUGAUUCACCCUGUUUAAAUUCUAAACAGACUUUAAGAAUACAAGGAAGUGUAUUCCAUUGAGGGCUGACCUGACAUUCUAGAGACUUCUCUUAGGAGGCCUAUAGCACCCUAGCCUUGUCAAGUCCAGAGCUAGCUGCCAAGCCAGUCUAUGUUCCCAUAGAGCACAGACAUCCGAGGUAACAGUAAAGACAGGGGAGAGAGGCCAUAGGUCUGGCCAAGAACCAGCUCAGCUCCACCC